rnacentral:lncRNA from 1 species
UUUACAAAAAUGUGUCAACAACUAGGUGUGAGAACUACUACAAAACAGAGUAGUCCUCAGUGGGUACUGCGACCGACCUCAACGGUCCACCCACUAAGUCUACAGUAAUGAUAUGCACAGGAUAGUAAGGAAAGCUGGAAAAACUCUACAGCUACAUACUUUUAUACUAUCGCUAUCAAAACCAACUAACUGUAGACAUAAACAUGCAUCACUAGCUACAACUGACCCAAUCUCACACGG